rnacentral:ribozyme from 1 species
AUAACAGGUCCUUGAUGCAGUCCGUUUUUCACGACAACGUCAUUCAGAAUUCUCUGGACGCCCAUGAAACCAAAAACGCUUUCAGUGGCAUGUCUAAAAUUUCAAGCGCAUUAGGGUCCUUGAAAAGCCUUUGCGCCCUUUCAGGCGGGUCCGCUGUCCUGAAGGAAGCUACUGGACAAGACAUCACCAAAGUCAACGAGAUAUUGCGUGUGCAGUACAGCAACUUUGUGUCCGCCAUAGAACAAAACGGG